GACGAACGCUGGCGGCGUGCUUAACACAUGCAAGUCGAACGGAAAGGCCCUGCUUUUGUGGGGUGCUCGAGUGGCGAACGGGUGAGUAACACGUGAGUAACCUGCCCUUGACUUUGGGAUAACUUCAGGAAACUGGGGCUAAUACCGGAUAGGAGCUCCUGCUGCAUGGUGGGGGUUGGAAAGUUUCGGUGGUUGGGGAUGGACUCGCGGCUUAUCAGCUUGUUGGUGGGGUAGUGGCUUACCAAGGCUUUGACGGGUAGCCGGCCUGAGAGGGUGACCGGCCACAUUGGGACUGAGAUACGGCCCAGACUCCUACGGGAGGCAGCAGUGGGGAAUAUUGCACAAUGGGCGGAAGCCUGAUGCAGCAACGCCGCGUGCGGGAUGACGGCCUUCGGAUUGUAAACCGCUUUCGCCUGUGACGAAGCGUGAGUGACGGUAAUGGGUAAAGAAGCACCGGCUAACUACGUG
rnacentral:rRNA from 1 species